rnacentral:rRNA from 1 species
ACGGGUGAGUAACACGUGGGUAAUCUACCCCGAUGACCGGGACAACCCGAGGAAACUCGGGCUAAUACCGGAUGUGGUACGGGAACAUAAGUUCCUUUACUAAAGGUAGCUUCGGCUUCCGCAUUGGGAGGGGCCCGCGGCCCAUUAGCUAGUUGGUGGGGUCAAGGCCUACCAAGGCAACGAUGGGUAGCUGGUCUGAGAGGACGAUCAGCCACACUGGGACUGAGACACGGCCCAGACUCCUACGGGAGGCAGCAGUGGGGAAUCUUGCGCAAUGCGCGAAAGCGUGACGCAGCAACACCGCGUGAGGGAAGACGGCCUUAGGGUUGUAAACCUCUUUCAGAUGGGACGAAGGUUGUCCGGUGAAUAGCCGAGAUGAUUGACGGUACCGUCAGAAGAAGCUCCGGCUAACUACGUGCCAGCAGCCGCGGUAAUACGUAGGGAGCGAGCGUUGUCCGGAAUCAUUGGGCGUAAAGAGCGCGUAGGUGGAUCAAUUAGUCUGCUGUGAAAGUCAAAGGCUCAACCUUUGAAAGCCGGUGGAUACUGUUGAUCUAGAGUACGGAAGAGGCGAGUGGAAUUCCUGGUGUAGCGGUGGAAUGCGCAGAUAUCAGGAGGAACACCAAUAGCGAAGGCAGCUCGCUGGGACGUUA